AAGAUCAUGGAGUUGCUAGCUUGGAUGUGGCUAUCUUUAUUUGAUGUGUUGUUCUUCAUCUUGCUUUUUGUGUGUUGAUAUUGCUUGAUUCUAAAGUCCAAUGGAAAAUUGGGUUUCUAUAUGGCAUUCUUGUCUAUUGGAUUGCAUCCCAUUGGUCAGAUCUUUUCAACUCUUAACUUUUAAAUUCUUGCUUAGGAUUAGUCUCUUCAUCUCUUCCCACUUCUUUAAUUUCAAAUCUAUCCCUCCAUUUAAAAUAUUCUUUGCUUGUGUUUUUCUAAACUUAGACUUUAUUACAAAAUUAGAAACUUUGGCCUUAUGCCGUUGCUUUUUCAAACUUUUUUUCUUAACCAAAUUUGUAAACGAACUUAACUAUACUUGACUUAAAAUUUUCAAAAGCCAAAAAGAACCAAUACUCAUUCAAACCUUUUAGGCCCCUUCGUGCCUCCUUCAAACUUAAAAUUUUGUUAAAAGCAACUCAUUCACUUUGAAAUUGAUACCACGAACUACAAGGUUUUGAUCCCUCAUUUUUAUGUUGGUACUUAGGCACGAGUCUGAAGGUCUUGUCAAACACAAAAAUAUAAUCAAUGAAUUCUUUUCUCAUCCCUCCACUCUAUUUAUUGCAAACAUCAUUUUAUACAAAAACACAUAUGCACACAAGAAAGGGCUCCCUAGGAGUACCUAGGAUACUUUAGGUGCUAACACCUUUCCUCUGUGUAAUCAACUCCCUUACUUGUAAUCUCUGGCAUUUUAUUAUUUUUGGUUUGAAAACUUCUUACAUGGGGAUUUUGUUCGUACUUUUCUCUUUUCCCUUGGAAACAAUAAAAGCGCGGUGGUGACUCCGAUUUUAUUGACGUUAAGUUUAUCCAUACUUAAUGGUCAUGAAUUUACCACUACAUAAAUUAAGUGGCGACUCUGCUGGGAGUAGUCUCUAGUGGGUUUAGCCUACUUUUGUGUGUGUAUAUAUUUGUGUAUUUGAUGUAGGUAUAUUUGUUGGUAUGAUAUAAUCUGCUUGUUGUGCUUGGUGACCUCUGAGUGGUGAGAUAAGUUCUAACCCUAACUUGAGUGCAAUUAAGAUAGGAAGAUGGCAUAGUCAUGUUCGACUUGUGUGGAGUAGUCCUUAACAAGUUGGCUUAAGACCCAUCUACUCAGUGGAGACCCUUUUAGAGCUAUUAAUGUCACACAAGUAAUUUGUGGUUAGGUAUUACUUCCUUUAAUUUGGGGUCCGAGAAGCUAAGGACCGUAGAAUAUUUAACCCAUCUUGGCCUAUUUAGUACGUAGUGCGGAGACUGUUCAAGUGUAGACUUGAUAACAGUUGUUACGCGAUACUACACUCAGACGAGUUUCUCUUGAGAAUAUUACGGCUUGAUGAGUCAGUCAUCCUAACCUAUAAUAUCCGAUAGAUGGAAUUAAGACUCUGAGAACUUUUUAGAACAUGAUCUACAGGUUUUUGUCCUUAGUACACCCCUUUGGGAUGGUUCUUAACCUGACUUUAUGCUCGUGACUCAAAACAAACCCUUGAUUCUUGGUUGAUCCAAUCAAGUCUUAUCAAUGUCAAUGGAACUUGGGUGUUGAUAAGGUGAAAACCGUAAUCCACCAAAAUGGAUGAUUGAUCUUGACAAUGACUCGAUUCAUCCCUUGACCUUUGUUUGUUUACCUUGUGUGUGAUCCCUUAUUUGUGAUUGUUGCAUUCAUGCAUUCAUGCGCAUCAUAACAUUCAUCACUCCAAAAUUAGCCUUAAGGAACUGAGGUUUUAUUUGCAAAUAUUUUUAGACCAUGGAUUAUGGACGAAGGAACACUAAGAAGUACAAUUUCAGAUGUCCGGAUUUGAAAGAGUUAAGGAAGCUAUCAUCUUUUGUAUUAGAUCCCUUGGACAUUAAGCAACUUCAUAGGAAGCUUCUGUCUGUAUUGUCUACUGAUGUGAUAGAAGGACUCUUGAGUGUGUUGGUUCAGUUUUAUGACUCUCUCUACCGUUGCUUCACUUUUCCGGAUUAUCAGCUUGUACCUACGUUGGAGGAGUAUCCCCAUCUCUUGGGAAUACCUGUUUCUAGCUAAGUGUCGUUUAGUGGAUUGGAAGAGAUUCCAAGAUCUCAUAUUAUAGAUGAAGCUUUUCACUUGAAGAAGUAUGAGAUAGAGGCUCAUUGGGUGAAGAAAGGAAGAAUGUUUGGGUUGACUUCUGAGUUCCUCAUCAAGGAAGCUAAUGCCUUUGCUCAAGUCGGUAGUGUGAAUGCUUUUGAAGUUAUCUUUGUGUUGCUCAUCUAUCGUUUGGCUUUGUUCCCUAACAUUGACGGUUUUGUUGAUGUUAACGCCAUUAGAAUCUUCUUGAUUGGGAAUCUUGUGUAUACUUUGUUGGGAGAUAUGUACUUGUCUUUGCAUCUAAGGAAUUCUAAAGGUGGUGGAACGAUUGUUUGUUGUGUUCCUCUUCUGUACAAGUGAUUUAUUUCGCACUUGCCUCAGACGCCUACUUUUGUGGAGAACAAACAAUGUCUAUGGUUGUCUUAGAGACUUAUGUCUCUCACUAAUGAUGAUAUAGUUUGGUAUGAUUCUUCAUUGGGUAGCUUGGAGAUUAUUGAUAGUUGUGGUAAAUUCUCUAAUGUGCCUCUCAUUGGUACAGAAGGAGGAAUCAACUACAACCCUACUUUGGCUCGUCAUCAACUUGGGUUCCCCUUAAGAGACAAACCUAAUAACACUUUAUUAGAAGGUCUUUUCUAUCAAGAGGGUAAAGAUCCCCAACAUUUGAAGUAGAAGAUUGUGGAUGCUUGGCAUAAUGUGCAUAGGAAAGGAAGAUCCGAGUUUGGUCCGUGCAACUGUGUAGCUUUGGAAGCUUACACUCUUUCGGUGAACAAGAGAGCAUUGGAAUUGAAGAUGCCGUAUGCUUGUGAGAGACCUAUGUCUAUGGUUGUGGCUGAGCCAUUAACUCUCCCUAACCAAGAUGUAGAGGAGUUGGAAGACGCACUCGCCAAGAUGAAGCAAGAAAAGGAUAUGUGGGAAGAGUGUUUCCAUGCUUUGACCCGAAAGCACGAGGAGUUACAGCUUGAUUCUAAGGACAAAGAUGCACUUAUCGAGCUUCUUUAAGACCGAGUAAUGAAGAGACAGAGAGAGCCAGAGGUUUCAUCUUUCUCUAGUAUGCCUUAGCCUUCAUAUGCUUGGAAGAAGAUUGUUGAUCAACUUGUUCUUGAGAAGGCUCAGAUGAAGACUUCUUUUGAGUCUAAGAUCCGACGCAUACGAAGGAAGUACGUGCCUACAACUAGAUCUUCUGAAAUUGUUGUUAGGGAUCCUUAGGAUGACUAGUCUCCUUCCCUCUUGUAUUUUGUAUUUUUGGUUUCUGAAAUUAUACUCAGUGUAAUCCUUACAAUUAUAUAAAUAAGAGAGAUUUUUUAUGGUCAAUCAGAUUGUACAAUUGUUAUUAUAUAUUUGCAAAUAAAAUAGCAUGUUCCUUGAAAAUAAAAACAAACAAGCAUUGCAUUUCAUGCAUCAUUUGCAUAGCAGGUUUUUCUUCUGCCAUAUGUCUCAUUGGUUAUUCUUAUGUGCUUCAGCCAAGCUGACUCAUCCAUCUAAUACCCGCGCCAAUCAUCCGCAAAUCAUGGAACACUUAGAGCAAGAGAACAGAGAACUGAAGGAUAAGAUCGCCCGCCUGACUUCCAUGAUGGACUCAAUUCUAGCUUCCCAUAGUCAAUCUUCUUCAACGCCUGCAACUCCUCCUCCGUAGAGGACUGUCAUUUCAUAGGUUGUGUCUUCAACUGUGUCUGCCACUCAGUUCUCUCCUGACAUGCCUGUCGGAUUGCCAUGGGGAAUGCCGUCCAACUUUCUGCCUGAAGGUUUUGCGCCUACCUUUGCUUCCAUGCCAGCAUCUAGCCCGGUCAUGGAUGUGCCACCACUGGUUGUUCAUAAUCUGCCUUGUGUUGAGCAUACCAUUUAUCAUUCCGAGUCGUUUGAGGGUCCAGAUGUUUAUGAGAAGAUGGAUGAAAUGAAAGACCAAUUCCUUGAGCUGCGAAAGGAGUUGAAAACCUUGAGGGGAAAGAUUUGUUUGGUAAGAGUGUUGCGGAACUUUGCUUGGUUCCCAAUGUUAAGAUCCCGAUGAAGUUCAAAGUCUCUGACUUUGAAAAGUAUAAGGAGAACACCUGUCCACUCAGUCAUCUCAUCAUGUAUGCUAGAAAGAUGUGACGCAAACUAAUAAUGAUCAGUUACUAAUUCAUUAUUUUCAAGACAGUCUGACUGGUGCCGCUUUGAGGUGGUACAUGGGUUUGGAUAGUGCGAGUGUUCGCACGUUCAAUGAUUUGGGUAAAGCAUUUAUGAAGCAAUACAAAUAUAAUAUGGAUAUGGUGCCGAAUAGGGACCAGUUGAGGUCAUUGUCUCAGAAGGAUAAGGAGACGUUCAAAGAGUACGCCCAACGAUGGAGAGAGCUUACUGCUCAGGUUACCCCUCCUUUGGAGAAAAGGAGAUGACCAAGAUUUUUCUCAAGACCCUAAGCUCGUUUUACUAUGAGCGAAUGAUUUCUAGUGCCCCCAGUGAUUUUACCGAAAUGGUAAACAUGGGGAUGAGGUUAGAAGAAGGUGUCUAAGAGGGACGGUUGGCCAAAGAAUAGGUUCCAUCUAGCAAGAAGUACAGAAGUAGAUUUGCCAGAAAGAAAGAAGGCGAGACUACUGCAGUAUCUGUGGGGAGGCAGAGGAGGCCCCAUGUCAAAAGAAAUCUGCAAACCCAUCAACAUCAUCAUCAAGUGUCAUCUGUUAUUCCAGUAUUUUCAAACAAUCAAUCAACACCAGUUUAACAACAACGUCAAGAACCGCCACAACAAAGAACAAACAACUAUACCAACAAUAAUCAACAACAACAGAACUUCGAGAGGAAGAAGGUCUAUUUUGACUCGAUUCCUAUGACUUAUGCCGAAUUGUAUCCAUCAUUGGUUCUCAAGAACCUUAUGCAACCAAGAAAUCCUCCACAGAUUCUUGAACCACUUCCAUGGUGGUAUAAGCUGGAACUUUGUUGUGCCUUUCACCCAGGAGCUCCCGGUCAUGAUAUCGAGAAUUUCUACCCCAUGAAAUAUGUAGUCCAGAAGUUGGUCAAUAGUGGGAUGGUGUCCUUUGAGGACCGUGCGCCGAAUGUCAAAGCAAACCCAUUACCUGCUCAUGGUAAUCCUUUUGUUAACAUGGUAGAUGGUUGUCCUGGGGAGUUCAAGGUAUAUGAUGUUCGUUUCAUUAGAAGGUCCUUGGUGAGGAUGCACAAGGAUAUAUGUUUGGUGAGUGAUUGUGAGCAUGACCAUGACAAUUGUGCAAUUUGCAGUGUUAACCCCUGAGGUUGUGUAGUUGUGAAUAGAGACAUCCAGAGGUUGAUGGAUGAAGGUAUGAUCCAGAUUCUUCAGUACUGUCACUUAGGUGGCGAUGUGAAUGUAAUAGUGUCAGUAUUCAAGAUACCAGAGAGAGUGGUGGUCCAGUUUGACAGCAGCAGCAGUAACAGUGUCAGCAAUAGAUCAAUAUCGUCGUUGGUAAUACGGUUAGCGGGCCAUAUCCCGUAUGCAUCCGAUAGAGUUGUUAUGUACCAAUAUAAUGCUAUUAUGUUAGAGAAUGAUCAAGAAGUUCCUUUGCCUACAACCAAUUAUGUUGUGAGCAUUGCUGAUGUUACAAAAGUGACCCGUAACGGUCAUGUUUUUGGGCCUGUCCGAAGAGUGUAGAGGAUGUCAGUAAGAAGGUUUAAGUGCCUAUAGUUGAUCCAGUUAGUGCUCCAAAGUGUCAGCCUGGUGAAUCCAACAAUUUGAAGCCUAAUGAUGAUGAUGAGGUACUCUGUUUAAUCAAGAAGAGUGAGUUUAAUACGGUGGAGCAGCUGCUUCAAACUCCUUCCAAGAUUUCAGUGAUGUCUCUGCUUCUGAACUCUGAAGCGCACAGAGAGGCAUUGCAAAGAGCAUUGGAGCAAGCUUAUGUCAAGCAUGAUGUAACAGUAGACCAAUUCGAUCAUAUUGUGGCUAACAUUACUUCCUGCAACAACUUGAGCUUUUGUGAUGAAGAACUUCGCAAGGAAGGAAGGAAUCACAACUUAGCAUUACAUAUAUCGAUGAAUUGCAAGAAGGAUGUGUUGUCAAAUGUUUUGGUUGAUACCGGUUCUUCUUUGAAUGUACUCCCUAAGUCAACUCUUUCCAAAUUAUCGUAUCAAGGAGCUCCGAUGAGGUACAACGGUGUGAUUGUCAAAGGUUUUAAUGGUUCUCGCAAGACUGUAAUUGGUGAGGUGGACCUUCCUGUGAAGAUAGGUCCGAGUGAUUUCCAAAUUACUUUUCAAGUAAUGGACAUCCACCCAGCCUAUAGGUGCUUGUUAGGAAGGCCGUGGAUACAUGAAGCUGGAGUUGUUACUUCAACUUUGCAUCAGAAGUUGAAAUUCGUGAAGAAUGGUAAGCUUGUUAUCGUUGGUGGAGAGAAGGCUCUGUUGGUGAGCCAUCUGUCGUCUUUCUCUUAUGUAGAAGCUAAGGAUGAGAUUGGAACUCUGUUCCAAGAUCUAUCUAUUGCAGAAGAAAAGAGAGUUAGGGAACCCAUGUCCUCCUUCAAAAACGCGUAGAAGGUUGUUGAAGACGGUAAUUUUGAUCGGUGGGGCCGAAUGCUAGAGGUCGCCAAGAACAAGAGCAGAGCCGGUUUGGGUUUCCAACAAGGGACGUCUGUGAUUAAGGCUGAAGAUGUGCAACCCAGUUUCUGUAGCGGAGGGUUCAUUCAUGGUAAUGAACAACACUUAGCUUCCGUGAUCGAGGGUGAUGAAGAAGAAGACUGCACCAAUUUUGUGACGCAUGGAAAGGCUUGUAACAAUUGGAUUGAUGUCGAUAUUCCUGUUAUUAUGCCUCAUUCUAAGUAAUUACUUUUAUUAUUUUUGAAAAUCCUUCUCCUAUGCCUAAGGGAGAAGUGAACAUUGUUUGGAAUUUUCAAAUUUGAUCAUUAAUAAAAUGCAAUUCUAUUCACCCACAUCUAUGAGGUUUUCUUUUUACUUUUUGUGUUUCUGAAAAAAUUGGUAAUCAUAAAAAACAUAAAUAAGUAAAUAAUAAUUUUUCCAUCUGCAUAUAUUUGGUCACCAAUUCACUUCUCUAAAAUCAAAAUAUCAAAUCAUUAUGCAGGUUGGUUUCUAAACCCAUUGAAUAUAAUGAUCAUACUCCCUCGCCAAACUUUGAAUUCCCUGUGUUUGAGGUCGAGGAAGAAAGUGAUGAAGAAGUAUCUGAUGAAUUAUCUCGUCUACUUAAUCACGAGGAAAAAGCCAUUCAGCCUUUUGAAGAGAAGGUUGAGCUAGUCAACUUGGGUUCCGGGGAUGAUGUAAAGGAAGUCAAGAUCGGGUCUCGAUUAUGUCCAAAGAUUAAGAAGGGGUUGAUUGAUCUUCUCUGAGAGUAUUCAGAUGUGUUUGCUUGGUCCUAUCAAGACAUGCCUGGUUUGGAUUCUGAGAUUGUGGAGCAUAGAUUGUCGUUGAAGCCAGAAUGCCCGCCAGUCAAGCAGAAAUUGAGAAGGACUCAUCCUGAUAUGGCAGUAAAUAUCAAAUAAGAAAUGCAGAAGCAGAUUGAUGCCGGUUUCCUUGUUAUCGCUGAAUAUCCGCAGUGGGUGGCCAAUAUUGUGCUUGUUCCAAAAAAGGAUGGAAAAGUCCGUAUGUGCAUUAAUUAUAGAGAUUUGAACAAAGUCAGUCCGAAAGAUGAUUUCCCUCUUCCACACAUUGACAUGUUGGUAGACAACACAGCUAAAUUCAAAGUCUUUUCAUUUAUGGAUGGAUUUUCCGGAUACAAUCAGAUCAAGAUGGCACCCGAAGAUAUGGAGAAGACCAUAUUCAUUACACCUCGGGGAACAUUCUGUUAUAGAGUGAUGCCUUUCGGUUUAAAGAAUGUUGGUGCAACUUACCAGAGGGCAAUGACCACUCUUUUUCAUGAUAUGACGCAUAAAGAGAUCAAAGUUUAUGUUGACGAUAUGAUUGCCAAAUCCAUUGAUGAAGAAGAGCAUGUUGAGCAUUUGUUGAAGCUAUUCCAGCGUUUGAGGAAGUAUAAACUCCGCUUGAAUCCCAAUAAGUGUACAUUUGCUGUUCGUUCUGGUAAGUUGUUGGGCUUUAUUGUUAGUGAUAAGGGUAUUGUAGUUGAUCCUGCCAAGGUCAAAGCAAUACAAGAGAUGCCUGCGCCCAAAACUGAGAAGCAAGUCAGAGGUUUUCUUGGCCGCUUGAAGUAUAUCUCAAGAUUCAUUUCACACAUGACUGCCACAUGUGUGCCUAUAUUUAAGCUUCUUCGGAAAGAUCAGUCUUGUGAUUGGACCAAAGAUUUCCAUAAAGCUUUUGACAGUAUUAAAGAGUAUCUGCUUGAGCCUCUAAUUUUGUCUCCGCCUGUUGAAGGAAGACCGUUGAUCAUGUAUUUGACUGUGCUUGAUGAGAGUAUGGGCUGUGUUCUUGGUCAGCAAGAUGAAACUGGAAAGAAAGAAUAUGUUAUUUACUACCUCAGUAAGAAAUUCACUGACUGAGACUCGGUAUUCUAUGCUAGAGAAGACUUGUUACGCAUUGGCUUGGGUUGCUAAGCAUCUGCGUCAGUAUAUGUUGAAUCAUACCACUUGGUUGAUAUCCAAAAUGGAUCCAAACAAGUAUAUUUUUGAGAAGCCUGCUUUAACUGGGAGGAUUUCCCAUUGGCAGAUGUUGUUAUCAGAGUAUGAUAUUGAAUAUCGAUCUCAGAAAGCGAUUAAAGGUAAUGUCUUGGCUUACCAUUUGGCUCACCAACCAAUUGAAGAUUAUCAGUUAGUGCAGUAUGACUUCCCUGAUGAAGAGAUUUUGUACUUGAAAAUGAAAGGUUGUGAUGAACCAUUGCUUGAAGAUGGGCCAGAACCUGGUUCCCGUUGGGGCAUGGUAUUUGAUGGAGCUGUUAAUCAAUAUGGUAAUGGCAUUGGGGCAGUGAUUAUUACUCCUCAAGGCACUCAUUUUCCAUUUACAGCUAGAUUGACUUUCAAGUGUACGAAUAGUAUGGCUGAGUAUGAAGCUUUCAUUAUGGAGCUUGAAGAGACCAUUAAUCUCAAAAUCAAGUAUUUAGACGUCUAUGGAGAUUUGGCCUUGGUUAUAAAUCAAAUCAAAGGUGAAUGGGAGGGUGAAUCAACCCGUUUUGAUACCAUAUAGAGAUUAUGCGAGGAGGAUUUCAACUUUCUUUACAAAUGUUGAAUUUCAUCAUAUCCCUCGAGAUGAAAACCGGAUGGAAGAUGCUCUUGCAACGUUGGCUUCAAUGAUUAUGGUGAAGUAUUGGAAUGAAGUUCCCAACUUGAUUGUGAUGCGUCUUGAUAGGCCAGCUCAUGUGUUUGCUAUUUAAGAGGUCAAAGAUGAGAAACCAUGGUAUUUUGAUAUCAAAUGUUUCCUCCAAAGUCAGAUUUACCCGCUUGGGGAAUCUUUGAAAGAUAAGAAGACUUUGAGAAGAUUAGCCGGCAAUUUCUACAUGAAUGGUGAUGUAUUGUACAAGAGAAACUUCGAUAUGGUUCUACUGAGAUGCGUGGAUAGACACGAAGCAGACCUAUUGAUGACUGAAGUCCAUGAAGGUUCCUUUGGUACUCACUACAAUGGACAUGUUAUGGCUAAGAAGAUGUUGAGAGUAAGUUACUAUUGGCUGAGAAUGGAAUCUGAUUGUUGCAAGUUUGUGAAAAAUGCCACAAGUGUCAAAUUUAUGCAGAUAAGAUUCAAAUUCCUCUGACACUGUUGAACUUUAUUUCCUCCCCAUGGCCCUUCUCCAUGUGGGGAAUAGAUAUGAUUGGCAUGAUUGAGCCCAAAGCUUCGAACAGACAUCGUCUCAUUCUGGUGGCUAUUGACUACUUCAUAAAGUGGGUUAAAGCGGCAUCAUAUGCAAAUGUGACUAAGCAAGUUAUUGUGAGGUUUAUCAAGAAUCAGAUUAUAUGCUGAUAUGGUGUGCCAAGUAAGAUCUUUAUUGACAACGGAUCGAACUUGAAUAAUAAUAUGGUGGAGGCUCUUUGCAAAGACUUCAAGAUUGCACAUCAUAAUUCUUCUCACUACAAACCGAAGAUGAAUGGGGUUGUUGAAUCUGCAAACAAGAACAUCAAGAAUAUCAUCUAGAAGAUGGUUGUGACGUACAAAGAUUGGCAUGAGAUGAUCCCAUUUACUUUGCACGGGUAUCGUACAUCCAUCCGUACUUCAACAGGGGCAACCCCUUUCUCACUUGUUUAUGGCAUGGAAGUUGUGCUCCUGGUAAAGGUUGAGAUCCCAUCAUUAUGUGUCUUGAUGGAAGCCAAGUUGACUGAGGCUUAAUGGUGUCAGACCAGAUUUGAUCAGCUGAAUUUGAUUGAACAGAAAAGAUUAACUACCAUGUGCCAUGGCCAGUUAUACCAGCAAAGGAUGAAGAAAGCAUUUGAUAAGAAGGUCCGACCUCGUGUAUUCAAAGGAGGUGAUCUUGUGCUCAAGAAUAUUAAUCAGUCACCAUUUAUAGGGGGUGAUCUUGUGUAAUUUUUAUCUUGAAUUUGUUUUAAACAAUAUGAGUAGCUAAACCCCCCAAUGCUAGGGGGUGUCCCUGAUUUAGAAUUGUAAUGACGUUGAGUUUACAUUUGCAUUUAUAAUAUUUUGUUUACGGUAACCUUUUGAUGUGUUUAUUGCUUUCUCUUUCGGACCAAUUGAGAUUGAUCUAUGGUUAUCACUUAGGCUGGACUGCCAGUGAUAAGGUUUUCAUCAGGUUACUCUACAAUAUAUAUCACCUAGGACUAGGGAUACCCUGUAUGAACUAGAGCAUUCUUGAUAUUAUACAGCUUAACUUCACCCUAAUUGGCUAUGGACAUAGGAAUUAGGGUAGAUUGAUUAAAGGUUUUAUCACCAAGGACUUGGGAGAAAAUACCCUUGAGAACUGGUAGUAAUCGAUAUUUGUUGAUGCAAUAGUAACUCAGAGUUGUUACAGGGAUAAAUCAUACAUCUUCCCUGGCAUUGUUCCUUUUUCUCUAUAAACCCUUAUUUUCAUAUUUCUUUAUUAUUUUCUUUUUACACUCAAAAACCAAAUUAACACUUUUUGUUUAAUUGAAUGAUAAUUUAAAAUCAAUACUAACGUGCAGUCCUUCAGAUCGACAUUCGGGGAAUUUCCCCAUUAUUACUAUAAAAGGAAAAAUAGUACACUUGCUAUUUUCCCGAUCAAGUUUUUGGCGCCGUUGCCGGGGACUGCCCAAAAUAUAGAGUUUAAUUUUAUUUCAAUUAAAAUUGUGUUGCUCUGCAAUAAAAUUAUUUUCCUGUCAUUUAUAUUUUACUAACCAGUGUAUGCGAGGAAAACCCUCAGCUGAAAUUCUUUUUGACGCAAAGAUCGAGAGAACCCUUCACAGAAGACGCGGAGAACAAAGAGUGGAUUCUACAAAAGAAAGUACCUCGGAUCAACCAGAAGUCAAGGAACCAAUGGCUGAAGUUCCUCCAAUUCCACCUCCUCCACCUCCGGAAAGACUCCUAGGUGACUAUGGAGGUGCAAACGCACCGGGUGGUCGACUGACCAUUGUUAACCAACCGGUGAAUGUGACAAAUUUUCAACUGCAUCCUAGCAUAAUCAAUUAAUUGGAAAGAAAACCUUUUAUCGGAAAGGUUAAUGAAGAUGCCAACAAACACCUGCAAAGAUUUCUGACCAUGAGCACCACCUUGAAAAUUGAUGGUCACACUGAUGAAGCAAAAAAAUUAAGAAUGUUCCCGUUCACUUUAGCUGAAUACGCGGAAGAAUGGUUCUAUUCUCUCCCUACCGGUAGUAUCACUUCCUGGGAGGAGAUGGAAAUUGCAUUCUUAAAUGAGUAUUUUCCAGCAUCAGUAUUCUUGAGAAAAAGGUAUGAAAUUCUGAAUUUCAAACAGAAGGAUGGUGAAUCAUUGGGAGACACCUACAAAAGAUUCAAAAGGAUCUUAGUCGGGUGUCCCACUCAUGAUAUGGAUCAGACAGAACAAAUGCAGAUGUUCGUUAAUGGGCUGAAAAUAAAGACAAAAUAGUUGAUUGAUACAGCAGCCGGUGGCUCAACAAAUUUCUCAACAGCCACUGGUAUUAAGAGGAUUAUUGAAGCAAUAGCUCCUAAUGAGCAUCUAGAGCUAUAUGAAAGGUGUACAAGUCAGCCAGACGGGGUAAUUGAUCUUAAAUUAGAGACAAAUAAAAUCCGUCUGGAAGACACUGUUGUUGCCGAAGUAGACAAAAAGUUGAAAGCUAUGAAUAUAGGUACUCAACAGAUAGCACAGGUUCAGCCAGCUCAGGCGAGUACUUGUGAAAUCUGUAAUGGACCUCAUCACACAGUCUAUUGCUUUGCGAACUCCCCAACAAAUUGAAGAGAUCAAAUUCUUGAAGCAGAAUAAUCCUACUCUAAUACUUACAACCCAGGGUGGAAGAAUCAUCCAAACUUUUCCUGGAAAGAUCAGAGAGGGAAUGUUCCGCAACAAGGUACAUGGCAAUAUCAGACUCAGUAUCAGCACAAGCAACAACAAUAACAGGCACCUAAAAGGUUGAAUGGGAGAUUGCCAUUGAAAAGUUAGCAGCCCACAGUAUACAUUUCAAGAAGAAACAAGGACUAAUCAGAAAAACACCACAGCCUCCAUCAAAAAUCUUGAAGUUCAGAUGGGACAGAUAGCACAACAGUUGCAUCAAAACUCUCAAGCCCCUGGAACCCUACCUAGUGUACGGUGACAAAUCGCGGGAACAUAACACUGUUAACGUUGUCACAACCCGAAGUGGAAAGUCAACCGAGGUAAAUGAUAUAGAAAAAGAUGAUUAAUAGAGGUGGAUUUAGAAAUCAAGGAACAAAAAGUCCAAGAUGAAGAAGCAAUACCACCUCCUGUCCAGGAUAGGAAAACAUUCCUAAACCCAUAAUCAAACUUCCUUACCCCCCACGACAGAAGAAGAAAAAUCAACAUGAGAAGAAUUUUCGAGAAAUUUCUGGAGAUGUUCAAGAAACUCGAAAUCAAUAUCCCUUUUUCUGAAGCAUUGGAACAAAUGCCAAUAUAUGCCAAGUUCAUGAAAGACAUAAUUUCCAAGAAGCGUUCCACUGAUACUGGACCGAUCAUCCUGACUAAAACAUGCAGUGUCGUUCUCCAAGGCAUGAAAAUACCAAUGAAAAAGAAAGACAGGGGAUCGAUUACUAUUCCUUGCACUAUUGGUGAUCGAAAAUUCAAGAAGGCUCUGAUUGACUUAGGAGCGAGUGUAAGUUUGAUGCCAGUGUCCAUCUAUAAGAAAUUAGGCAUCGAUUAUGUUCAAGAUACUCGAAUGACCCUUCAGUUUGCGGAUCACUCUGUUCGGCGACCCUAUGGUAUUGUGGAAGAUGUUCUUGUAAAAAUUGACAAGUUUGUCUUUCCAGUCGACUUCGUCAUUUUGGAAAUGCCAGAGGAUGAGGAGAUCCCUCUCAUAUUGGGAAGACCUUUCUUGGAAAUAGGACGAUGUAUGAUAGAUAUUGAGGAAGGAACUAUGACCCUUAAGAUCUAUGAUGAAGAACUAAAGAUAGAUGUGAGGAAUACCAUGCAAUACAAAGAUGGUGUUGGCACAAGCAACACUAUAGAGAUAAUCGACCAAGUAAUUGCUCAAGAAAAUGACCAACAGAGACCCCGAUCACCUCUAAACCAGGUCUUAAGCUUGUCCAUUUUUUAAAGUAAUAAAGAUGAAGAAGAAUCUGAGGUGCUUGCUCUAAUGGAAAAACAACCUGAAUGGAUUAGAUCUAGACCACACAGGUGGGAAGAUCUAAGACCACCACCAUCCGAUGUCACUGAAGAACCCAAAAAAGGGGUGAAUCUGAAGCAGUUGCGAACAAAUCUGAAGUAUGUAUUUCUAGACACCGAAGAAAAAUGUCCAGCCAUCAUUAAUGUUAGUCUACAGAGUGCCCAAGAGGCAGAACUCAUUCAAGUGCUAAAAAAAUACAAGGGUGCAAUCGGAUGGGCAAUUGAGGACUUAAAAGGUAUAAGCCCUACUGUUUGCAUGCACAAGAUCUUAAUGGAGGAUGACCACAAAUAUUCAACCGCAACGAAGACUUAACCCAGCCAUGAAAGAAGUGUCGCAAAGAGGUUGUAAAACUCUUGGAUGUGGGCCUAAUCUACCCUAUCUUCGAUAGUUCUUGGGUAAGUCCAGUUGUGGUACCCAAAAAAGGGGGCACAACGGUAAUAAAGAAUGAAAAGAAUGAGUUGAUUCCAACCCGCACUGUUACAGGUUGGAGAGUGUGCAUCGAUUACAGAAGGCUAAAUAUGGCAACAAGGAAGGGUCACUUCCCGUUACCAUUCAUUGAUCAAAUGCUGGAACGGUUAGCAGGGCACGAGUACUAUUGUUUCCUAGACGGUUAUUCAGGGUACAACCAGAUUGCGGUUGCCCCUGAAGACCAAGAGAAGACUGCAUUCACAUGCCCCUAUGGUAUUUCCGCUUAUAGAAGAAUGUCAUUUGGCUUGUGGAACGCAUCGGCCACAUUUCAAAGGUGUAUGACUUUUAUUUUUGCUGACAUGCUCGAAAAGCAUAUGGAAGUAUUUAUGGAUGACUUCUCGGUGUUCGGUUCUUCAUUUGAUAACUGUUUGACUAACCUGUCACUUUAUUUAGAAAGACGCCAGCAAACAAAUUUGAUCCUGAAUUGGGAAAAAUGUCACUUCAUGGUUCGAGAAGGAAUAGUAUUGGGACACAAGAUCUCCAACAAGGGUAUCGAAGUGGAUAUAGCAAAAGUGGAGGUAAUAGCAAACUUACCACCACCAGUAAAUGAAAAAGCCAUCUGAAGCUUCUUAGGACAUACGGGUUUCUACCGCAGGUUCAUAAAAUAUUUCUCCAAGAUUGUCAAACCAUUGACUAGUCUGCUGGUAAAAGAUACCACGUUCUUAUUUGACAAAGAAUGCAGGAACGCCUUCGAGACCUUGAAGAAGGAGUUGGUGUCAACACCCAUAGUUAUUUCCCCAAAUUGGUCUCUUCCUUUUGAGAUAAUGUGUGAUGCAAGUGAUAACGUAGUGGGGGCACUAGGGCAACGCAAGGAUAAGCUCUUGCAUGUGAUCUACUAUGCAAGCCAUGUACUCAACCCUGCUCAAAUGAACUAUGCAACCACAGAAAAAUAACUCCUGGCGGUGGUAUACGCUUUUGACAAAUUCAGAUCCUAUCUGCUGGGAUCAAAGGUAAUUGUAUAUACUGACAAUGUUGCUUUGAAAUAUCUUUUUGCAAAACAGGAAUCCAAGUCGAGGCUGCUGCGAUGGAUCCUCCUACUACAGGAAUUCGAUCUGGAAAUCAGAGAUAAAAAGGGUAGUGAAAACACUAUUGCUGAUCACUUGUCUCGGAUGACUCCGAUUCAAGAAACUGAAGAAACACACCCCAUCAGAGAUGAGUUCACAAACGAACGCAUUCUAGCCAUUACGCAUAUCCCAUGGUUCGCCGAUUACGCGAACUUUAUGGUAGGUGGACUGAUACCUGAUGACUUUGACUCUAACAGACAAAAAAAGUUUUUGCAUGAUUGCAGGUUCUAUGUAUGGGACGAUCCAUUCCUUUACAAAAAGGGAUUAGAUGGUCUAGUCAGGAGACGUGUUCUAGAGGAAGAGCAAAGGGACAUUUUAAAAGCCUGUCAUAACUCCGAAUAUGGAGGACAUUUCAGCGGAGACAGAACCGCAGCCAAAGUCCUCCAAUCUGGAUUGUACUGGCCCACACUGUUCAAAGAUGCCCAAGCAGUGGUAAAAGAGUGUGACCGAUGUCAAAGAACAGGAAGCAUAUCUAAAAGAAAUCAGAUGCCUCAGAAUGCCAUGUUAGAAGUCGAAUUGUUCGAUGUGUGGGGGAUAGAUUUUAUGGGACCCUUCCCACCUUCCUUCGGAAAGCAGUACAUUCUAGUUGCGGUGGACUAUGUGUCAAAUUGGUGGAAGCAGUUGCACUGCCUACAAAUGAUGCAAAGGUGGUGAUCAACUUCCUCAAGAAUUGUAUCUUCGCACGGUUUGGGGUACCAAGAGCACUUAUUAGUGACGAAGGUACUCACUUCCUAAAUAAAUUGAUGGAAAACCUACUGCAGAAAUACAAUGUCAAGCAUAGAAUCGCCACUCCAUACCACCCCCAGACCAGUGGACAGGUUAAGGUAUCCAAUCGGCAGAUCAAGCAAAUCCUAGAAAAAACUGUCAGUGCCUCUAGAAAGGAUUGGUCAAUCAAACUCGAUGACGCACUCUGGGCGUACCGAACAGCGUUGAAAACACCGAUAGGUAUGUCCUCUUAUCAGUUAGUCUAUGGUAAAGCUUGUCACCUGCCACUUGAACUUGAGCAUAGGGCAUUCUGGGCCACCAAAUUCCUCAACUAUGAUCUAGCCAAAGCGGGAAAAUCUUGGAUCCUUCAAUUACAAGAGCUGGAAGAGUUCAGGAAUCGAGCGUAUGAGAAUGCCAAGAUAUACAAGGAACAAACCAAAACCUAGCAUGACAGGUGCAUUCAGAAGAAAGACCUUCAGAAAGGACAACUGGUGUUAUUAUUCAACUCAAGGUUGAAACUCUUCCCAAGGAAACUGAGGUCCCGAUGGUCGGGACCCUUUGAGAUACAAAAGGUAUUUUCACAUGGAGCCAUUGAACUACGAAAUCCAGCGAACGGAGACACGUUCAAGGUAAAUGGGCAGAGAGUGAAACCAUACAUACAAGACCAGGAGGAUGGUCCUAUAGAAAAAUUCUGUCUCACCUAAGCAGAUGAAGAACCGUCGAGACAUUAGACGUUAAAAGAAGCGCUUCGUGGGAGGCAACCCACGUUUUUUAAUCCUAAUUAGUUGUAUGUGUUUGUAGGCAUACAGGGGUUCUACAAGGAGGAGCCAGAAGAACCAACGGUCGACCUGACAAGAAAACCAACAAAUGGCCAAAAGGACAGCCUGACACGGCCACCUGUGUCAGCUGACACGGGCCGUGUCAGAAGAGGGAAAAUACAGAAAGGAUGCUUGAAAACAGUGGCCUGACACGGCCACCCGUGUCAGCUGACACGGGCCGUGUCAGGAACACUGUAAGAAAAAUAGUUUUAAGGAUGAUAAAACAGUGGCCUAACACGGCCCGUGUCAGGAACAUUAUAACAGAGUUGGUGGAAAAUGGUAAACAGUAGCCUGACACGGCCACCCGUGUCAGCUGAUACGGCCGUGUCAGGCGUGCGGAUUUUUUGAAAUUUUUUUGAAAAUUUUUAAUUUUCAUGGGGCCCACCCACUUAAACCACUCUUAACCACUCUUUUUUCCCUUAUCACUCAUCAUUAUCAGAUUUUUACAAAACUUAUCAUCACUCUCUCUCAUACUUUUUCAUCUUCUUCUCUCACUCUCUUACAAACUCCAUUAAAACUCACUCACCUCACCAUACAAAACCCUACAUGCAACCAAGUUCCACUCACCUAUAGCCCAAACACCCUUCACAAAUAUUCCUCACCUCACCGUCCCGGUCGCAACCACGAUUUUAGAUUUUUCUAACUUAAAAGUUCGGAAUUUUGCUAUUUUUGCAGGUCCAAAAUGUACUCGAACAGAAUCCUUACCGGAAAGCAACAACGCGCAGAGAUGGAGAAGUCCCAGAAGCGCCUGAGCCGGAAUCCUAAUCCCCAUAAUAUUUUGUUUGACAACCCAGAGCAAGAGCGACGUUACCAAAUUCACCGGAAGCGAAAGCUCACGCCGACCAGGUAUAUGUGUGAGAAUACUCUGACCGCUCUAGGGCUGAAAAUUGAGGUAGACCGAAUGUUCCAUGUCUUGGGCAUGCUCGAGUUUAUGAGUUUGGAGGCGCUGACCUCUGAGCGCAUUACUCUCGAGUUCCUCAACACUUUGGAGUUCCAGCUGGAAAAGCGGUGGGUUAGCACAACCAGCUAUUAUUUUGGCACCUUACGUUUCCGAUUGUUUAACAAUUAUCAUGAGUUGUCUAUUGAGGAGUUAGUUGCAAUACUCCGACUCCCGCUGAACAGACCCGGAGCGGUCCCUGACGGGUUUUCUCCUAAGGAUUUCUGGAUCGCCAUAACUGGGAGGACGGAUUACUCCUCCAAAGGUGCGAAAGCCUCGGGCAUCCAGAAUCCCUGUUUCAGGUACGCCCAAAAAGGUUUAGCCUACAAUUCUGGAUCGCCAUAACUGGGAGGACGGAUUACUCCUCCAAAGGUGCGAAAGCCUCGGGCAUCCAGAAUCCCUGUUUCAGGUACGCCCAAAAAGGUUUAGCCUACACAUUGUUCGGUAGAGGCGACAUCACUGGAGUAGCUACUCAGAGAGAGCUAUUCUUCAUGUAAUCGAUGGCUCAAACCAAGACCAUCAAUGUAGCUGCCUUUGCAGCAGACUACCUGAGGAGAGUCGGCCGAGCAAACUCCGGAGGCAUUUCCGUGGGAGGUAUGAUCACCCAAAUUGCAUUGCAUUUCGGGUAUCAGGCUGUUUUACUCGAGGACACGCCAAUUGUAGGUAAUACAAAAAUUGACAUGUCUGCUCUGAUUUCCCAAGGUAUGAUUGUGAUUCCCCCUACCUACUAUUCCGUCUUUAUUCAUAAAAGGUUUAUCAUCGCUCUGCCGGAUCCGGAAAGAGUUGCUAUCACUGAUUGUGCAAAUUGGUUAUAUGUGAGUGCCGAUCCCGAUGCAGAUGAAGGCCACGAAACUGACCACUUUAAUGCAGGUGAGCACUUUGUAGAUGACCAGGCAGAAGGAACGGAAAGAGAAGAAGAAUAUCCUCAAUCACCUCCUGAGCAGUUUGUUCCACAACCUCAGGAACCCACCCAACAGGCGACGGGUUCAUCAUCUUGGUCAACUGACCAAUGGAGCUGGGUACAGACCGAGCUAGGUGACUUGAGGACCGAACAACAAAGGCAAGGCAUCGAGCAAGCCCGUCAGGGAGCGAUGUUGGAUGAGAUGAGCAGCAUGAUGCGACAGUUGAUGUUGCAUUUCCCGCACCCACCUCCUCAGUAGAACCCUGUGAGUUCCCUCCUCCACGCUUGUUCACAAACAUUGUGGACAAUGUUGAGUUCAAGUGUGGGGGAGAUUUUAUGUAUUUUAUUGGUAAUUUGUUUUUGUGUUAUCUUUACUUUUUAAUUUUGUAUUAUAUUUUGUAUUCUAGAUUGAAUUUGUCUGUUGAAUGUACAUAUGCUGCAAGUGUGUGUGUCAAGUCUGUGUUGACAGGUUGGAAAAGUAAUGAUCACAAUUGAGAAUGGAUGAAAGAUCACACCACUCACCAUGGCUUGUUGUGAAGGAUCUCCCCAGAAAGUAACACUGCUGAAAAUAAAGAUCGGACGCAACGUAUACAGCUUAACCGACACGAGUAUCCUACACAUUCCGAAGUAAGAAAGCAAUUGCACCAAAUUAAGAAGCACUGUGGAUCCUGUCAAAGCUGAACCAAACCAAGUGAGUCAGAAAAGGCCAAACACAUUAAUCAUCAUGAGCGUCAUUCAGGUUUGUCUUAUUAAGAAGCACUGUGGAUCCUGUCAAAGCUGAACCAAACCAAGUGAGUCAGAAAAGGCCAAACACAUUAAUCAUCAUGAGCGUCAUUCAGGUUUGUCUUUAUCACUCUAAAUUUGCGUAGACUCUCUAGGACUGUCACUGGAUGAUACACACACUGAGGCACGUUGUUUGUAAUUAACCCCGAGCCUUUCUAGCCAUCCCGAAUCAUUACAUCCCUCGUAACCCCCUUUGAGCCUAUAUCCAUUUUUGUUUAAAACACCAUGAAUGCAACCAUUGGCCAAAAACACUUCCUCACCCUGUUCAGAGUCAUGAGAAUACAUUCCAACUGUGUUGAAAAGCUAAGUUUGGGGUAAAAACCCCAAAGCUCUCAAAGCCCUAGAAAGUGCAAAAACAAAAUAAAAAGAAAAAUUGAUGAAUCGAGAAAAAGAAAUAAAAAAAAAUCAUAUAAUUGAUGAUUCAAAAGAAAAAGCACGAAAAAGGGCAGUCGGUAAAAAUUCAAGAAAACAAAACCGAGGAAAUAAAAGAAACAAACACAGGAUGUAACAUCGACUCUGAACCAAAAGCCCAUUAUUUUCCUCUUUUUUUUGAAUCCACACCCUAACCCAAGCCAAGUUACAACCCGAAAGACCUCAAAAAGUGUAUGUGUUGUGUGUAGGUGAUUAGAAAAGAGAGACUAUUCAAACUUGUGAGUGAUAUUGCAUACUUUGAAUUAUGAGUGUAAACAGUUAACCCCGAGAGAAUUGGUGAGAAUGUGAAAUAAGCUGACAGGUGAAACGGUGCUUUAAAGUAUGAGUGUAAACAGUUAACCCCGAGAGAAUUGGUGAGAAUGUGAAAUAAGCUGACAGGUGAAACGGUGCUUUAAAGUGGAAGUGUGAAUGAUGACUUACGAGGAUGGGUAGGACUUGUGGAAGGAAAACGGAAGACGUUUGCGAAUGAUCUCAGCAGUGGUGGAAAGCAUAAGGAAUUCUGGGGCGUGAUAAUGAAACAUUACUUGGGACAAGAAAUGAGCUAAGUUUGGGGUUGUGAUCAGUCACCAUUUAUAGUAAGUUUUCAUUACUGAUCCGACGCAAAAUAGAGACAUUUGAUACACUGUGCAAGCAUUUAAGGUACAACUCGAUUAGUUUUACUUCCGUUAUUUUAUUUACGCAUUAUUAAUCUUGUUAUAUUUUACUUUGUUUAUCUUAAUUUUAUGCGUGGGAUAACUGUGUUUUUGUCCGACAGAUCCAGGUAGAAGAACCGAAGAACUCAGAACACGACAGUGCAAGAGACCGGCACGCAAAAGAGCAGAAAACCCUGGUACAGGAGGCCUGACACGGGUCGUGUCAGGGCAAGGGAAGCAGAAGAAAGAAAACAGUAGCCUGACACGAGCCGUGUCAUGCAGAAUUCGGGGAAUUUCCCCAUUAUUACUAUAAAAGGAAAAAUAGUACACUUGCUAUUUUCCCGAUCAAAUAUUCUAUCUUUCAAACCUAACGCUAGGGGCAAAUGGACUCCUAAUUAUGAAGGCUCAUAUGUUGUUAAGAGAGCCUUUUCAGGCGGUGCUUUGAUCCUUACAACUAUGGAUGGUGAAGAGUUCACUCGUCCUGUGAACGCAGAUGCUGUCAAGAAAUACUUUGCCUAAAAAAGAAAAGAACGACUCGCUAAGUUGAAAACCCGAAAAGGCGGCUUUGGCAAAAAUGAGUGUCUCGGUGGAUUGAAAACCCGAAAGGGCGAUCCAAGAAAAAGUUAGAGACAAAAAAACAGAAAAAUUAUCCCGAUAAAUUGAGUACCCCACCUUGGGGAAAUUUAUGCAAAAAUAAGGGAUUAUAGAAAGUAACUGCAUCCUGCUGAUCUUCAGUUUUGAAGACAUUCUUGAGCAAGUCGGUUAAUUCUAUUUCAUCAUCCUCAUGGGGACGCCAAGAGCACAGCGGAUAUCAAAAGUUGGUAGAAGCAUUAGUGAUCAUUGUAUUCAAUGUAGCCCUUUUCCAUGUAAAUUACCAUUUUUCAACUUUUGUAAAGAUCUAUGGAGUCUUGUCAUUUACAGACUACCAUCCUAUUAAAUAAAGUUGAGCUUUUAUCCAAUUGUUUCUACUAUUACCAUUUUUCAACUUUUGUAAAGAUCUAUGGAGUCUUGUCAUUUACAGACUACCAUCCUAUUAAAUAAAGUUGAGCUUUUAUCCAAUUGUUUCUACUCUUAUUUAUUAUUCAGCCAAAUAGAUUUUAAUUUUAUUAUGAUCAUGUUUGAAAUUAAAUUUUAAAUCAAAAUCAUGUUUUCUUAAAUAUAUAAAAGUAGUUACUUUAAGAAAUCGAUAUCAUUUAAAGGAAUAUCAACAGCGGUUUGAAAAAUGGUGAGCCCUAAAUGUGGAGCAUUGUUGGUUCUCCCCCCAGUAGUGGGCGUGAUCCCUAUUUCAUCCCUCGCAGUUUUUCAGCGACGUGGUUUUGUUGGUUUCCCAAGCUGAGUUUGUUGGCCUCCCUUGAGUUGUAGGCGCGUUAUUAAUGGGUUUAAUAGAAUUUUACUUCCCCACAAGUCGUCAGAGUUAGUCCUGAUUUUGAGCAGCUAUUAUGGUUAUCCCCUGCAAGGUUUUCUCCCAUUUGAUAUGAAGUUGACCUAAAAUUCCCCACAGAGUUUGUAGCAGUUUCCUCAGUGGAUCCUCUCCUUGUGCUUUCCCCAUCCCGGAUUGAGCCAUCGAGACGUUUGAUCUCUCUCCAGCUGUUGUUUCCCUCCUGUGAGGAUUGGCUAGGAGUUGUAUCGAUGAUCCAAACCAAUGACAUUUGUAUCCUUCGUGAUCAUUUUGUAAGCAUAAUCAUCAUAUAUACAUAUACAUAUACACUCAUAUAAUUUCAUUAUUGCAUUAUUACACUUGGUGGUGCAUUGUUCAUUUUGAUCCUUUGCUAUGGUGGUAUACUUUUCCCCCAUGAAGAUUUAGUUUGUCUGUCCUCUUUCAAUUGUAGAAUGUCAGCCCAUUAAGCAGAAAAACUUUAACCUUUCUCUUUCCCCACAGAGUUAUUUCCUCGUGGAUGGUCAUUAUUUCAGUCUACUCCCAAGUGGAUUAUCUGGAUGAAACCACUCCCCUUGAGUUAGAUCCUCAUUGGGUUGAGUCUUUGAUUGACCAUUUCUUUCUAGAUCUUACCUAGAUAUAUGCUUUUGGUUCCCUUAGAGUUUAUUACCGAGUAAUUGGUAAUAUUCUUCUUAUUUUGCAAGUAUUGUCACUUUGCCCAAUACCCGGCGAGAGCAACUUUUUUAUCCCCAGCGAAUUCGUUUUCACGUUUCCCUGGGAAGUAUAUCUUUGAUAUGUUCAUCCUAACCGAUGACAGAUAUUUUAUUCCCCUACUUUAAGUUUAUACUUGAUAUGUUCAUCUUAACCGAUGACGAAUAUUCUCUUUUUGGUAUUCUACCCAGUAAAAAGGUAGUUGUAAUCCCUAUUUCUUCCCCAGAGAGUUAAUCCUUGAUAUGUUCAUCCUAAUCGGUGAUGGGUUUCCUUCUCUUUGCGGUCUUCUGUCCAAUAACCGAUAGUUAUAAAUCCUUCUUUUUCCCCUUCUGCAGAGUCUAUCCUUGAUAUGUUCAUCCUAAUCGAUGACGGAUGUUCUCUUGGUGGUAUUCUAUCCAGUAACUGAUAGAUAUAAUUCCUACUUUUCCCUUCUGAGUCUAUCCUUGAUAUGUUCAUCCUAACCGAUGACGGAUAUUCUCUUGUUGGUAUUUUAUCCUGUAUUCGAUAGAUGUAAUUCCCACUUUCUCAUGUAGUUUAUCCUUGAUAUGUUCAUCUUAACCGGUGACAAAUAUCCUUCCUAAUUUCCCCAGGCAAGUUUAUCCUUGAUAAGUUCAUCCUAACCGAUGAUGAAUUUUCUUUCCUUUGAGUUCAUCCUUGAUAUGUUCACUUUAACCAGUGACGGAUAUUCUCUCCCUUUGGUCUUCUACCCAGUAACUGGUAGUUGUAAAUCCUAUUUUGGCCUUUCCCUAACAACUUAUUCUUGCCCAGUAACUGGUAAUGAAUACACCUCCUGGUUUCCCUCAGUGAGCCAUCCUUGAUAUGUUUACCCUAACCAGUAACGAAUGUCUUCCCUGUCAGAAUUUGUUAUCCCCUUGACUAGUAUCCGGUAAUGGAUAAUAUAUUUCUAUCACUCCUGUGUUGAAGAUUGUUUCUUCCCCAGUUGAGCUUGUGUGCGUAUUUCUUCAAUGAAAUCGCCUUUCCCUACUUGGUUCGAGUAUUUCAGCUUUGUUCUGAUCUACCCGUUCCCCCAGAAGUUUUAAAAGUCGUAGCCUGGCCUACGCAUAACCCCUUUUAUCCCCUAGAGUCUUUGUACCCCCAAUUAGUUUUCCCUACGGAAUGCGUUAUACUCCUGCGAACUUCCAGUUUCUCCAGAUUCUUUUCCUUUGUGGCAACAUUUUCCCCACACAGAUUAUUUUUAACAUUCAUAUCAUAUGCAUCAGGAGGUCUCUUAGAGACCAAAAUUUGCUUCUAUAUGUUGUUAUUUAAGUCCAUUCUACUGAGUCGAUACGAAUAUUUUAACCUUCAUCUCCUCAACUAGGACGUCCUUAAAUAGGGGCAGCGGUAGGACUCCAAUUUUGACCCUAAGAUCCCUCAUGAUAUCUCAUCAUAUGCACUUCAUUCAUUGAGUUUGCAUUGGGAGAGAUCACCAAGCACAUUUGGUUGUAUCAUACUUUGUAUUUUAUCAUUUACUAACCAAAAAACCAAAAAUAUGUCAUUAUAUAGUUUGACUCUUUUUGUAGGUAGUGCACAUGCUCACCUUUGAUCUAUCAAGCUCACAUCUAGGAUUUAAGACCCUCAAUGCAAGGAGCUCAAUCAAGAAAUGGUUUAAUAUGUCUCUAAGUAUCAUAUGUGGAUCCCCGUGAUCUUCACAUGUUAUUUUGAUCAAGAAAUUAUCAAGAGUUUGGAAUUGGUUUGCCUGGGAAACCUUAAUUCAUCUAGGUAUCUUAUGUGACUUCUCCAACAAGCUUCUUCAACAAUUGAUCAAAUAUUUCAAGGGAUACUUCAAAUUUAAUCAUCUUAUGCAUAUAUGAUCCUCCAUGAGUCCCAAACGUCAAGAGAAUAGCAAGCUAGCAAGUUGGUUCAUGGUGGUUGACCAGAGGAAUUCAACUGAUCAAAACUGGGGUUCCCUAGACCCUAUCUCCUACAAUAUUUGUCAUAUGAAAAUGAUUCCAAGAGAAACGUUACUCUAAGUGACAUUCCAAACAACUUUCAUGUUGAGGUCUAUAGCUAGUUUUUCUUGGAAAGUCAUUUUUUGUGGAAACAUAUUAUAGGUCAUUUUGUCUAAACCCUAAUUUGGAGGUCAACUUACCAAGACCAUAACUUUCUCACUUUUUAUGGUAUGAAAGCUAUUAAAGUUUCAUCAUAUUCAAGAUGUCUACUUCAACUUCUAUGUUUGGAGGAAGAUCAAAUUCAACCUUUAAAUGCAUGUGAUAUGAGGAGACAUUAUAGGUAAUUUUGGACCAAUGCCAUUGAACAAGUGAUUUUCCUCAACUUAUAAAAUGCAUAACUCCUUCAUAAUAAAUCCAAAUGAGGUCACAUUUGUAACCAUUUUGAAGGAUAUUUAGAGAGUUACAACUUUGAUGAAGGAACUUUUCUCAUUUGAAGCUCAUAUAAAAAGUUAGGAAAGGUGAAAGAAGUGAACAUAUGGCUUGACACUUCGAAUUGUUUUUGAUAUAUAUGAUUUUCCAAACUUCCACCUAAAAAUUCAUCAUGAUCCAAGUUUCAAAUAAACAAGUGAUCAACAUGAAAGUUGUUCCUCUUGAUCUAAACUUUCCAAAAAAUCCAAAUUCAUCCCAUUUGGACAAAGUAUGAGUGACUUGCGCAUGGCUUAAAGUUAGAUCACCAUUUGGAAUAAUUGAACUUGCAUCUUCCAUACACAAAUGCAUGGCUUGCUAACAUGACUUCAGCAAUGUUUGUACAUAAUUUUGGACCUGAUUCAAUGAUUACAUGGGCCUAUCACACGCCCAUGUAUCCAUGCAAAGGUAAUUGCUAUUUUUGGAGUUUUGAAACAAGUGUGCAAAUAUCAAAUGCUUUGGCUAUAAAUAGAGCCCUCCAUGAUCAGAAUUGAGGACACUUGCGCGCCAGCUUUGAAUCCCCAGCCCUAAACCCUCUCAUUCAAAGGAUAACCUUGAGGAUUUCCAUUGGAAAUCGAGUUUGAAUCUCCACAUUUUUUAGAUUCAAAUCUCCAAGAGUCCUGCUUACUUUUUAAUUCAAUUCUACUCUAUCAAGCAUCCAGAGUAAGGCUAAGUGAAGUUGGAAGCAAGAUCGUGGCCAUCUGAACCUGCAAUGGAGGUGAUUUUCUCAUUUUUUUUUUCAUUUCUUUGAUUCUCACUCAAUUCUCCAUAAUUCUUCUUGAUUUUUGGUUGUAUGAAGUCCUACCAAUGUAGGCAAGAAGAUUGAGUUGCUUUGAGGUCAAAUCGAAGCAACUCAGGUCAUGAUCCUCAAAUUCCAACUCCUUAUAUCUUUUAAUAUACUUGGAGUUAGAUGAAAUUGAGGCCAGAUUCGAGCUCCUGAGUAUUUUUACUUUAAAUUCAUGUCCUCCUUUUUUAUUUUUGUGAUGGUUGAAGGUGGACCAGUCCGGUGAGGUCCACCGGAGAAGAAGACUGGAGUUAUAGCUUCGGCGGUGUGUUGGCACGCUUCUGAACCAUAUGAUCCUUUCAAUUUGUUUUAAUCUCACGCGCUGGUUUUGAUUACCAUCCCUGCAGCGCAUUGACUAGAGUCAAUCAUCGGACGCACGCUGAGAUCCACUUGAUCUGCCUCCUCAAUUAAUGAGGGAGAUCAAGUGGUCCACGUAUUUUUGCAUUUUCUGAUUUUUAGUUUAAUUGUUUAUUUUCAUUAAUUCAUAUUAAUUUUAAUAUUGAUCCAAAAAAUAUAAAUAAACUCCUCUUUCAUUUUCUGAAUUAAAAUUAUUUUUUGGAUCAUUAUUAAUAUUUUUCAUGAUUUAAUUGUUUUUGUGCAUAUUUUAAAUUGUUUAAAAAUACUUUUAAGUUUCCAAAAAUAUUGAAAUUUUUUCUCCAAGGUCCUUUGACCUUGUUAGACCUAUGAUAAAUCUCAUGGCCAUUUCUUAUGUGUUUUGAUGAGGUUUUAGGAUUUUGACCAACCAUAAUUUAAUUUAAUGCAUUUUUUAAUUGAUUUUAUUUGUUAACUUGCAAAAUAAAUUGUGUUGAGCUUUUGGUAUUGACUUGUUGAGUUUGACUUGUGUUGUUGGACCUUGGUCAAUGUUGAUUUGACUUUGUUGAGUUAAAAUCAUUGGAUUUAGGGGAUUGAUGAAAUGUACAUUUCAUCUCCCAAAAUGAAUGAAUGAUUUUAAUUUGAUAAAAGUCCUCCUUUGACCAAUUUGUGUUGAUAUUUAGGGGAUUGAUGAAAUGUACAUUUCAUCUCCCAAAAUGAAUGAAUGAUUUUAAUUUGAUAAAAGUCCUCCUUUGACCAAUUUGUGUUGAUUUCAUUUCCCCUCCCUCUUCAUCUCAAUCCCAUUCUAUUCUCAUUCAUUUCAUGGACCUAUGAUAUCUCUAUAUCCAAAGGCUAGUUGAUUGCAAAAUCAACAUAAGUAUGGAUGAGAUUAGGUCCACCCCUUUUGCAUUUUUUUAAGUGUGGUAUGUUUUAGGAGUAUGGUUAAUAAUACCAUAUCUCUAACAUGCAUUAGCACUAAAAUUUAUAUUGCCCGACCUCAAAUACUUGCGACUUCUACAUAAGUCCAAUUACAAUUGCUUAACACAGCGCUAAAUUUUGACACAAAAAGCAUAGCAUUCUAGUAAGUGAGAUUGUAAGUCUCCCCUCUUUCCUGGUAUUGUGUGGAAACGUGGCCUUUUUUCCUUCCUUUGGAAGAUGUCUCGGUUCAAUGAUCCAUGCUUGUGAAUACUGGGUUGAGUGUUCUCCAAAGAGUGGCUCAAAACAAUUGAAAAGCAAAAGCAAUAUUAACUUCUAAUCAACUAACAACUAACAUUUAAUUUCAAGCCAUUUACUUUUAUGCACUUUAAAUUCAAGUCUUUAUUCAUUUGCCAUUAUUCAUACCAUUUAACUUGUUUAUUCUAAUGUCAUUUUCACUUUGCUCACUUGAGCCAUACUUUGUGGUUAUAUUAUGAUCGUAUAUACUUGUUUGUUUUUGUGGUCCUUUGACCUUAAUGUACAUAAUAACAACAAAAACCCUAAAAGACAUUUGUGUGGACUGUUGAAUUUGAUCUGAGACAUUGGACUUAGAAUUAGGCAACACUCCCUAUGAAAAAGGACUUGGCCAAUGCCAACUUUUAUGAAACCAAGUGCUUGAGAAGUGAACUUUCAUCUAUUGCAAACAUUGAAGAUCCAUUUGAGUUCAUCUGCAACAUGAUUUUAAUGAAGUUGUUACUUUGAACCUAUAUCUAGUAAGCUAUUAUGAGCCAUUCAAGGAGUAAAUCAUCUGAUACAUGGGGAGAUUAUGAAGAAGAUCAUGGAGUUGCUAGCUUGGAUGUGACUAUCUUUAUUUGAUGCCUUGUUCUUCAUCUUUCUAUUUGUGUUUUGAUAUUGCUUGAUUCUAAAGUCCAAGGGAAAAUUGGGUUUCUAUAUGACAUUCUUGUCUAUUGGAUUGCAUCCCAUUGGUUAGAUCUUUUCAACUCUUAACUUUUAAAUUCUUGCUUAGGAUUAGUCUCUUCAUCUCUUUCCACUUCUUUAAUUUCAAAUCUCUCCCUCCUUUUAAAAUCUUCUUUGCUUGUGUUUUUCUAAACUUAGACUUUAUUACAAAAUUAGAAACUUUGGCCUUAUGUCAUUGCUUUUUCAAACUCUUUUUCUUAACCAAAUUUGUAAACGAACUUAACUAUACUUGACUUAAAAUUUUCAAAGGCCAAAAAGAACCAAUACUCAUUCAAACCUUUUAGGCCCCUUUAUGCCUCCUUCAAACUUAAAAUUUUGCUAAAAGCAACUCAUUCACUUUGAAAUUUAUACCCCGAACUACGAGGUUUUGAUCCCUUAUUUUUAUGUUGGUACGUAGGCACAAGUCCGAAGGUCUUGUCAAACACAAAAAUAUAAUCAAUGAAUUCUUU
rnacentral:lncRNA from 1 species